rnacentral:rRNA from 1 species
GAUCAUGGCUCAGAGUGAACGCUGGCGGCAGGCCUAACACGUGCAAGUCGAACGGCAGCACAGUGGAGCUUGCUCCAUGGGUGGCGAGUGGCGGACGGGUGAGGAAUACAUCGGAAUCUGCCCAGUCGUGGGGAUAACAUAGGGAAACUUAUGCUAAUACCGCAUACGACCUACGGGUGAAAGCGGGGGAUCGCAAGACCUCGCGCGAUUGGAUGAGCCGAUGUCCGAUUAGCUAGUUGGCGGGGUAAUGGCCCACCAAGGCGACGAUCGGUAGCUGGUCUGAGAGGAUGAUCAGCCACACUGGAACUGAGACACGGUCCAGACUCCUACGGGAGGCAGCAGUGGGGAAUAUUGGACAAUGGGCGCAAGCCUGAUCCAGCCAUGCCGCGUGGGUGAAGAAGGCCUUCGGGUUGUAAAGCCCUUUUGUCCGGAAAGAAACGCCUCGGAUUAAUACUCUGGGGUAAUGACGGUACCGGAAGAAUAAGCACCGGCUAACUUCGUG